UAUGUGGAUGAACACUUUUCUUCUCCGCAACUUCUAACCCUCGAAACCCUCAAUACCACAGUCUUUAUAUACGCCGUACCCCAAAUCGGAAACUUCCAAGUUCCGGCGAAUUUCACGCUUCAAUAACUCUCUGCCCGAGUUACAACCAACCGACUGAAUUUCUGGUGAAGGAUCUUCCCAGGUCUGCUGCAUAUGAUAGCACUUUGCUUCAACACAUUCACAAGUAUCUGAACAGAGACCCAAAAAAGUUGCAGAGGCAGAGCACGUGAUAGUCGGUGCCUCCAUAUUCAAAGCUUGGAGAAGAAGAGUGCAUGAGAGAUCCAAAGAGUAAUCAUACCGGGUGGUUGAAGAUUUACCCGGGUACACCCCUCUCUACCCGGGUAAAUAAUUCAAGCAAUUUCUCAGGGCACUUGCGUGGAAUAUGAGCAUGAAAAAUAAAUGUAGGAUGGUGCUGGUCGUCUUGGAAAGAUGCUUUAUGCUCGGCAAAGAAAGAAAUUUGAUUAUGAUCUAAAACAGGCAGUAAAUUACUUGCUGCUUGUUCUGGUCAAUUUGAUAAUACAAAUUUGAGCUAUACCACAAUCAUUCAAUCUCAUGACUCUACUAGUUUGUCUUCCCACCUGUAACAGUAGGAUUAUUUUUUUCCACCGCCUGGAUGUUGCAUGUAUAUAAAUGAUCGAAUGGAUAUCUAUUGAGAU